rnacentral:rRNA from 1 species
GGGCAGCGGUGGUGAAGGCUUGCCUUUACCAGCCGGCGACCGGCGCACGGGUGAGUAACACGUAUGCAACCUGCCUGCCACAGCCGGAUAAUCGGGAGAAAUUCCGUCUAAUACGGCAUAAUGCACCUAUGGGACAUCCUGUUGGUGCCAAAGGUUGAUUCCGGUGGCGGAUGGGCAUGCGUCGCAUUAGUUAGUUGGCGGUGUAACGGACCACCAAGACGACGAUGCGUAGGGGUUCUGAGAGGAAGGUCCCCCACACUGGUACUGAGACACGGACCAGACUCCUACGGGAGGCAGCAGUGAGGAAUAUUGGUCAAUGGGCGGGAGCCUGAACCAGCCAAGUCGCGUGAGGGAUGACGGCCCUAUGGGUUGUAAACCUCUUUUGCCGGGGAGCAAAGUGCCGCACGUGUGCGGUUUGGAGAGUACCCGGAGAAAAAGCAUCGGCUAACUCCGUGCCAGCAGCCGCGGUAAUACGGAGGAUGCGAGCGUUAUCCGGAUUUAUUGGGUUUAAAGGGUGCGUAGGCGGACGCUUAAGUCAGCGGUAAAAUUGCGGGGCUCAACCUCGUCGAGCCGUCCCAACUGGGUGCCUUGAGUGGGCGAGAAGUACGCGGAAUGCGUGGUGUAGCGGUGAAAUGCAUAGAUAUCAGGCGGAAUUCGGAUUGCGAAGGCAGCGUACGGGCGCCCAACUGACGCUGAAGCACGAAGGCGUGGGUAUCGAACAGGAUUAGAUACCCUGGUAGUCCACGCAGUAAACGAUGAAUGCUAGUUGUCCGGGGCGAUUGAGUUCUGGGUGACACAGCGAAAGCGUUAAGCAUUCCACCUGGGGAGUACGCCGGCAACGGUGAAACUCAAAGGAAUUGACGGGGGCCCGCACAAGCGGAGGAACAUGUGGUUUAAUUCGAUGAUACGCGAGGAACCUUACCCGGGCUCAAACGCAGGAGGGAUGUUUUUGAAAGGAGGCAGCCAGCAAUGGUCUCCUGCGAGGUGCUGCAUGGUUGUCGUCAGCUCGUGCCGUGAGGUGUCGGCUUAAGUGCCAUAACGAGCGCAACCCCUACCUACAGUUGCCAUCGCGUGAUGGCGGGCACUCUGUGGGGACUGCCUGCGCAAGCAGUGAGGAAGGCGGGGAUGACGUCAAAUCAGCACGGCCCUUACGUCCGGGGCGACACACGUGUUACAAUGGCAGGUACAGCGGGAAGCCACCCGGCGACGGGGCGCGGAACCCGAAAACCUGUCUCAGUUCGGAUUGGAGUCUGCAACCCGACUCCAUGAAGCUGGAUUCGCUAGUAAUCG